UACAGAGGUCCCGAGCGUUGUUCGGAUUCACUGGGCGUAAAGGGUGCGUAGGUGGUGAGGUAAGUCGGAUGUGAAAGCUCCAAGCUCAACUUGGAAAUGGCAUUGGAAACUACCUUGCUAGAGGGUUUGAGGGGGGACUGGAAUACUUGGUGUAGCAGUGAAAUGCGUAGAUAUCAAGUGGAACACCAGUGGCGAAGGCGAGUCCCUGGAAAACUCCUGACACUGAGGCACGAAAGCGUGGGGAGCAAACAGG
rnacentral:rRNA from 1 species